rnacentral:rRNA from 1 species
GACGAACGCUGGCGGCGUGCCUAAUACAUGCAAGUCGAACGCAGUGGGGACGGGUGAGUAACACGUGGGUAACAUACCAUCAGAGGGGAGAACACUUGGAAACAGGUGCUAAACCGAUAGUGAUGGUGGGGUCCGCGGUGCAUUAGCUAGUUGGUGGGGUAACGGCUCACCAAGGCAACGAUGCAUCGCCGGCCUGAGAGGAUGAUCAGCCACACUGGGACUGAGACACGGCCCAGACUCCUACGGGAGGAAGCAGUGGGGAAUCUUCGACAAUGGACGAAAGUCUGAUCGAGCAACGCCGCGUGAGUGAAGAAGGUUUUCGGAUCGUAAAACUCUGUUGUUAGGGAAGCGGUAUCUAACCAGAAAGCCACGGCUAACUACGUGCCAGCAGCCGCGGUAAUAC